CGUAAUAGCUCACUGGUCGAGUCGGCCUGCGCGGAAGAUGUAACGGGGCUAAACCAUGCACCGAAGCUGCGGCAGCGACACUAUGUGUUGUUGGGUAGGGGAGCGUUCUGUAAGCCUGUGAAGGUGUGCUGUGAGGCAUGCUGGAGGUAUCAGAAGUGCGAAUGCUGACAUAAGUAACGAUAAAGCGGGUGAAAAGCCCGCUCGCCGGAAGACCAAGGGUUCCUGUCCAACGUUAAUCGGGGCAGGGUGAGUCGA
rnacentral:rRNA from 1 species